rnacentral:rRNA from 1 species
UAAGGAACAUUGCUCAAUGGGAGAAAUCCUGAAGCAGCAACGCCGCGUGGAGGAUGAAGGGUCUAUGACUUGUAAACUCCUGUAAAGAAGGAAAAAAUUCCCAUUAGAUGGGAGAUGAUGGUACUUCUGGAGUAAGCCCCGGCUAACUACGUGCCAGCAGCCGCGGUAAUACGUAGGGGGCAAGCGUUGUCCGGAUUUACUGGGUGUAAAGGGUGCUCAGGCGGAUUUGUAAGUCAGAGGUGAAAUCUUACAGCUUAACUGUGAAACUGCCUUUGAUACUGCAAGCCUAGAGUAUGGAAGAGNGUGAUGGAAUAUCUGGUGUAGCAGUGAAAUGCGUAGAUAUCAGAUAGAACACCAAUGGCGAAGGCAGUCACUUGGUCCAUUACUGACGCUAAAGCACGAAAGCGUGGGUAGCAAACA